GUGCGAGCCGCCCGCCUUCCCGCGCCCGCCCUUAGGGCGCGGAGGGGCGCACCGUGCGUGUCUACGCGGGCCGCGUGGGGCACCGCCGGGUGAGCGCGCCCCCGAGCAGGCGAGCCCUGGGUCCCCCGGGGAGAGCUGGGGAGAAGGGGUCAUGGUCAAGCCUGGGAGAGAAGAGCCAAGUGCUGUGUGGACUUGAAACACGGGGGCUCGGAGCGUGUUAGGCCCCAAACUUUCGGGCUGUGUUUCUCAACCUUUGUGUGACCCCUACCCCCCACAGCUCCCCGCCCCCCCAGGACCACACCCCCACUGUUAAAUUGUAAUUCCACAGAUAUACCGUGUAUCUGCAUUUGCCGAACGUUUACCUGUGCUUGCUCUUUCAAAAAAAGGAUUCAGCCCAGCCGGUAAAAGGAAGACACAUUCAAUUCAAUAAACUCGCACACAGCAUCUUCUUCUGAAAGUACUUUGCCAAGGACUGGUGAACACGAGAAGUCAUGGGUUCUCUUACAGGAGUUUUCGGAGGUAGAUAUAUUCUCAACCAACUGUAAUACAAGGCAGAAUGUGGUAAGUACUAUAAUAGAAGUGGAAGUGCUAAGUGGACCAGGAGGAAGAAUUUAUUAAAGCUUAUGGGAUCUGGGAGGACUUCACGGCAGAAUGAGUUCUGGUGAGAUAGGUGGGAUUUUGUCAGGUAGACGUGGGAGGAGGAUAAUUUGUGUGACUACGAUGCAGGGCACACAGGACGAGAGGGUGAGGGUCAAGGUGGGCUGCCUCCAAGACGGCGCCCGAUGACCCCCACCUCCUAGUACUUGUGCUCUUUUGGAGUCCUCCCAGCAUUGUAUCGGGGUUGGUCUGUGUGACCAAUGGAAGAUGGUGGAAGCGAUGGUGCGUGGCUUCUAAGACUGCGUCACAGAAGACGCUGCCACUUCCCUGCUGCUUUCUGGAUUGCCUGCUCUGGGGGAAGCCAGCUGCCUGGGCACUAGCCCACGUAGCAGCCUAGGGAGAGACCUGCCUGGAGAAGGAACAGAAGUCUCCCGCCAAGAGCCAGCCCCAACCUGCCAUCCGUGUGAACGAGCAGCCUUGGAACUUGAUCCCCUGGCACCAGGCCAGGCCUUCAGGUGACCACAGUCCCAGAGGACAUCGUGACUGAAACUCUCCGAAGACCUUGAGCCAGAACCACUCAGCGAAGACGGUCCUGAAUUUCUGACCCACAGUAACUGCGAGAUAACAAGUGUUUUAUUGGUGCUUUAAGCCUCUAGUUUUGGGGACAAUUUGUUAGGCAGCAAUUGACACACUGUACAGAAAUGAAGGCUUGGGGACGAGUUUGGGGGAAACCUUGAUUUUCAAGGAGCUGUACUUGCGUGCAUUGGGGGCGCUGUUUUUUGUUUUGUUUUGUUUUUUAAUGUAAAGAAUGAUGUUCUGAUGCUGUGCGUAAUCUAAGUGGGCAAAGGGAGUGCUGGGGCAGGAAGAGAGGCCACCGCAGUGGUCCAGACCGAGAGGUGAUGAGGGAGCCUAGGUGGAGGCCCCGUGGGGGUGCGGGUGGGGGGGAUGGAAGGAGGGUGCAUCAGUCAACACGGGGAGUGAGGGCCAAGAGGCUGCAGAGGCGACUCCUCGGCUCUGAGCACGGGAACAUGGGAGCUGUGAUCUCAUUUACCCAAAGGGGAAACACAGACGUGAGCACCGGUUUGGGGGCCGGGAUGGGUGGGGAUAAAGAAGCGGGGCGUCUGUCUCCUAGCGAGGAGCGCUCCCGGUGCUCCGAGCUCCGCAGAGGGCCGACCAGCAGGCUUGAGCACAGAUCGGGCUGGUUGAGAAAUCUCUCCCUAAAGGACAAGGCUGUUCCAUUUCACAGCACAUCUUCCUCACUGCCAAGUGUUCCCUGGUGACAGCCUCUGCCAUCGCUAUUUUUAGCAUGUGGCCUUUCGGAGCCUGAAGAGCGGCAUCCACUUCCUGGAGCUCCUUCUCCAGCUGACAGCCGGUGACCCGCGCAGGGGGCAGCUUCAGCGGGGCCUGACAAGCCAGAGCCUGUCGCAGCGCCAAUCUGCCGGGGGAGAGGAAGUCAGACCCCAAGUUUGAGAGAAAGCCUCCAUCUCAUCCCCUUCUGUUCUGCUGCGGAGGCCUACAACCUCAGUGCCAAUCAGAAGCUGGAGAGUAAAAAAAGCCUCUUCAGGAAUCCCAAGUGGAAGGAAGCUUCUCAUGCCAUGUUCUUAUGUGACAGCUAUAUCGAGCCUGAAGGUAACACCUGGCCAGGCAAUGGCAGAAAAGCACCAGGACGUAACGUAUUGCUUUUGUAGAUCCUAGAACAGGCCUGAGAGAAAACCUAUUGGGAUUCGUAACAUGUUCUUUUUUUUUUUUUUAAAGAUUUUAUUUAUUUAUUUGACAGAGAUAGAGACAACCAGCGAGAAAGGGAACACGAGCAGGGGGAGUGGGAGAGGAAGAAGCAGGCUCCCAGCGGAGGAGCCUCAUGUGGGGCUCGACCCCAUAACGCCGGGAUCACGCCCUGAGCCGAAGGCAGACGCUCAACCGCUGUGCCACCCAGGCGCCCCCCGUAACAUGUUCUGAUGCCUCAAAUGGAGCCAGAUUUGGGGCAAAGCAAGAAAGCACUGAGGGAGACUUGAAAAGGGUAAAGCAUUUCUCAGAUGGGGGUCUGCAGUCCCUGGCCGAGGCUGGGGGUAUAAGAAUACACCUGACUGUCCUCCAGACUUGUAAGAGUUCUCUGCAAGAAUUUCAAAAUUGUGUGUUUCAUGGUUACGGUAAGCUAAACAGAUUGGGACGCGCACAUUCGGUGCUGACUGACUGGCCCCCUAAUGGAGGAAUAAUAUCUUGCCACCUCGGGACCCAUAGCCACAAAUGUGGUUAUGAUCAUUUUGAUGCCAACUGGCAUUUUUGUUUUUUAAUUUUUUAAAAGAUUUUAUUUAUUUAUUUGACAGAGGAGAACAAGAGAGACAGCAUGAGCUCGGGGGGUGGGGAAGGCAGAGGGAGAAACAGACUCCCCGCUGAGCAGGGAGCCCAAUGUGGGGCUCGAUCCCAGGACCCUGGGAUCAAGACCUGAGCGGAAGGCAGACGCUUAACCGACUGAACCACCCAAGCACCCCUCCCCCACAAGUGGCAUUUUUAAAGGUGGUUGCAGACUAAUGGAAAAGACAAGGAUGGAUUUAGUCCAGAACAAAGCAUUUGUGUCACGUGAGGACCAUGUGACAUCUUCCUGCCCUGUCUGAAGGAAGGUAGGUAGCAGCCGCUCAAAGCAGGAAUGCCAGCAAAGCUGCGGGGGCCCAGGUGGGGCCACCUUCUUGGUGUGAGGAUUAGAGUUCAGCAAAACAGCGUCAUCUGUCGCUCUGAACUCAUGUGGUCCCUGGACUUUGGGGGUUUUGAAGAAAAAGAGCCAUUCUUCGGGGGACUGUAAUCACCGUGCCCAUCACUGUCAUCACCAGCACCAUCAUGGAAGCAUUUACCUGGCGUGUGCCCUCGGAGCGGCGGCAGGGCUAGUGUAGGAGGUGGUGGCCGUUCCUUCUCCGUGAGGACUGCGUGGGUGUGGAGGAUGUGUGGGCAUCAGAAGACGAUGGUCUGCUGCUUAUGAGGUGAGGGCCCCACAUAAGUCUACCCUGGGUGCUGUGGAGGGACAUAAGUCUACUCUGGAAGGACAACCGCAGGAUUUUCUUCCUGGAGCCUCGAGUGGGCUGGGCUGGCGGGGAUAGAGGAGGAUUUGGGGCGAAGACUAUGUAUGGUGGCUAGUACCAACUGGGCAAGGCAAGAGAUCCUCCCCAGGAGGUUCCAUGUUGUGAAAACUGCCCUGAGCUAACACCAAAUCACCGCGUAUGUGGACAUGUGGGUGCCGGAUGGGAACAGAAGCACCAGGGGACCUCAGAAGGAGUCAGAGCCCCAGGAAUAACCCCCACCUUCUCCCUUAGCAAAUCCAACUCUUCUUUCAGGGGCCUCUUGGAACUUCAAAGCUUUGGGUACAUUUGAUUGACAUACCCCGUUUCCUGGCUGUGAGUCUGCAAAGCUGGUCCCAAGAUGCCUGGAACGUCUGGUAGCUCACCUUCCCUUGGGCCUCAGUCUCCCCUCAGUAUUAACCACCUGUGUCCUGUUUCCAUGCAACGUGACUUGUGUACAAACCUCGCCAACUACACAGGGAAAUCCUUUAGCCAUGUGAUUAAUGCAAUUAAAGGUAUGUACUUCUGAAGACUGAAGGACUCGUGGACGGAGGUGGUGCCGUGCACCAUGCUGCUUGCUGUUGAGUCUUCAUUUUCCCGGUAUUAUCUUGGUAUUUUUACCUUGUUUUUCCUUCCUGAAUCAGGAUGGAUUGCAUUUGGCCACAUUAACAGAAGCCUGACUGCAGGGGCUCAACCAAAUAGGCAAUUUUUUGUUUUUGAGAUACUGUUUGUAAAUGUAAAUCCACACAUUUUAAGUUUACAGUUCAAUGGGUUUUGGAAAAGGUACCGUAGCUCCUAAAACCACCCCAUCAAUUACAAGACAUUUUCAUCACCCUAGAAAAUGAGCUCAUAUUCCUUUCUGGUGAGUCCUGACCCUGUCCCCCAGGCAACCACUGUUCUGAUUUCUCUCUCACCAUAGCUUCAUUUUGCUGUUUCUAGAACUUCAUUUAAAUAAAACAACACAGUGUGUA